GACGAACGCUGGCGGCGUGCUUAACACAUGCAAGUCGAACGGAAAGGCCCUGCUUUUGUGGGUGCCUGAGUGGCGAAAGGGGGAGUAAAAAGUGAGUUACCUGCCCUUGACUUUGGGAAAACUUUAGGAAACCGGGGCCAAUUACGGGUAGGAGCCCCUGCCGCAAGGGGGGGGUUGGGAAGGUUUCGGCGGUUGGGGAGGGACUCGCGGCUUAUCAGCUUGUUGGUGGGGUAGUGGCUUACCAAGGCUUUGACGGGUGGCCGGCCUGAGAGGGUGACCGGCCACAUUGGGACUGAGAUACGGCCCAGACUCCUACGGGAGGCAGCAGUGGGGAAUAUUGCACAAUGGGCGGAAGCCUGAUGCAGCAACGCCGCGUGCGGGAUGACGGCCUUCGGGUUGUAAACCGCUUUCGCCUGUGACGAAGCGUGAGUGACGGUAAUGGGUAAAGAAGCACCGGCUAACUACGUG
rnacentral:rRNA from 1 species